rnacentral:rRNA from 1 species
UAUAGAUGGAUCCGCGCUGCAUUAGCUAGUUGGUAAGGUAACGGCUUACCAAGGCAACGAUGCAUAGCCGACCUGAGAGGGUGAUCGGCCACACUGGAACUGAGACACGGUCCAGACUCCUACGGGAGGCAGCAGUAGGGAAUCUUCCGCAAUGGGCGAAAGCCUGACGGAGCAACGCCGCGUGAGUGAUGAAGGUCUUCGGAUCGUAAAACUCUGUUAUUAGGGAAGAACAUAUGUGUAAGUAACUGUGCACAUCUUGACGGUACCUAAUCAGAAAGCCACGGCUAACUACGUGCCAGCAGCCGCGGUAAUACGUAGGUGGCAAGCGUUAUCCGGAAUUAUUGGGCGUAAAGCGCGCGUAGGCGGUUUUUUAAGUCUGAUGUGAAAGCCCACGGCUCAACCGUGGAGGGUCAUUGGAAACUGGAAAACUUGAGUGCAGAAGAGGAAAGUGGAAUUCCAUGUGUAGCGGUGAAAUGCGCAGAGAUAUGGAGGAACA